AGAAGGGCUUCUGGAUCAGACAACUCUACAGCCCAGGCUUGAUGCUCAGGCUUAUAGGGAAUGCAGAGGAGACCCUACAUCCAGCUCAGCUUCUUUCGAGAGCCCCUUCAAUGGAGACUUCAACUACUCGCAAAGUAGAAGGCCUCUGCUUUGGACCCUCACUCGCAACAAUGUGGGAGGUGGAAGGAGAAGGUAACUCUGGGAAAAUGGACUCCUUGAGCAGAUUUGAUUAAGGAAGACCAUGAGAACAAUGGAGAGACUGGAGAAAAGAAACAGGAAGAGUGCUACAGUGGUAAAACACAAUGCUCUGCUUGGCAGUCCCACAUGGGAAGGUUACUGGUUCGUCUAGAACCCCUGCUGAGUACUU